rnacentral:rRNA from 1 species
UACGUAGGGUGCAAGCGUUAAUCGGAAUUACUGGGCGUAAAGCGUGCGCAGGCGGUUUUGUAAGUCUGACGUGAAAUCCCCGGGCUUAACCUGGGAAUGGCAUUUGGGACUGCAAGGCUGGAGUGCGGCAGAGGAGACUGGAAUUCCUGGUGUAGCAGUGAAAUGCGCAGAUAUCAGGAGGAACACCGAUGGCGAAGGCAGGUCUCUGGGCAUUAACUGACGCUGAGGAGCGAAAGCAUGGGGAGCGAACAGG